rnacentral:lncRNA from 1 species
GGUUCUUUGGUUCCAUUGGGACCCUAGAAUUUCAACACCCGUUAACCAUCACUUACAAGUAAUGAGUGAAAUUCCUUCGUCGCAUAGACCCUUAAGUAGGGAGAUGAGCCAAGGAAGAACAUCUUUUACUUAUGGGAGCCUUUUAUCCUAGCCCAAGACUUAGCUCAUGUUAAUGACCGUCGCGAUCUCUCUUAGGAACCCUAUUGAUUAUUAUUUAAGAUGUUUCU